rnacentral:rRNA from 1 species
ACAGGAUUAGAUACCCUGGUAGUCCACGCCGUAAACGAUGUCGACUUGGAGGCUGUUUCCUUGAGAAGUGGCUUCCGGAGCUAACGCGUUAAGUCGACCGCCUGGGGAGUACGGCCGCAAGGUUAAAACUCAAAUGAAUUGACGGGGGCCCGCACAAGCGGUGGAGCAUGUGGUUUAAUUCGAUGCAACGCGAAGAACCUUACCUACUCUUGACAUCCACGGAAUUUGGCAGAGAUGCCUUAGUGCCUUCGGGAACCGUGAGACAGGUGCUGCAUGGCUGUCGUCAGCUCGUGUUGUGAAAUGUUGGGUUAAGUCCCGCAACGAGCGCAACCCUUAUCCUUUGUUGCCAGCGAUUCGGUCGGGAACUCAAAGGAGACUGCCGGUGAUAAACCGGAGGAAGGUGGGGAUGACGUCAAGUCAUCAUGGCCCUUACGAGUAGGGCUACACACGUGCUACAAUGGCGCAUACAAAGAGAAGCGACCUCGCGAGAGCAAGCGGACCUCAUAAAGUGCGUCGUAGUCCGGAUCGGAGUCUGCAACUCGACUCCGUGAAGUCGGAAUCGCUAGUAAUCGUGGAUCAGAAUGCCACGGUGAAUACGUUCCCGGGCCUUGUACACACCGCCCGUCACACCAUGGGAGUGGGUUGCAAAAGAAGUAGGUAGCUUAACCUUCGGGAGGGCGCUUACCACUUUGUGAUUCAUGACUGGGGUGAAGUCGUAACAAGGUAGC